GAUGAACGCUGGCGGCGUGCCUAAUACAUGCAAGUCGAGCGAACAGAUGAGAAGCUUGCUUCUCUGAUGUUAGCGGCGGACGGGUGAGUAACACGUGGGUAACCUACCUAUAAGACUGGGAUAACUCCGGGAAACCGGGGCUAAUACCGGAUAAUAUUUUGAACCGCAUGGUUCAAUAGUGAAAGACGGUUUCGGCUGCCACUUAUAGAUGGACUCGCGCCGUAUUAGCUAGUUGGUAAGGUAACGGCUUACCAAGGCGACGAUACGUAGCCGACCUGAGAGGGUGAUCGGCCACACUGGAACUGAGACACGGCCCAGACUCCUACGGGAGGCAGCAGUAGGGAAUCUUCCGCAAUGGGCGAAAGCCUGACGGAGCAACGCCGCGUGAGUGAUGAAGGUCUUCGGAUCGUAAAACUCUGUUGUUAGGGAAGAACAAAUUUGUUAGUAACUGAACAAGUCUUGACGGUACCUAACCAGAAAGCCACGGCUAACUACGUGCCAGCCGCCGCCGUAA
rnacentral:rRNA from 1 species